GUUAAAUUUAUAUAUAUGCAUGCCAACCCACUCGUCUAUAUAAUGAAUGAUUAAUGCAGGGUGUGAAGGUGUAGCUGCUCGACUUUACAAAACUUACAAAUUUGAUGCCCACUAAUUAUAUACCUGGCAUGUUCCUGUUUCCACUUAAUAUACUGGCACUUUUCUCCGUUUACUUGCACGCGCGCGCGCGCACACAAACACACUGAUGGUUUUCAGAGUUGCGAUCAGUCUGGCUUAACAAUUCUGCCUGCUCACCACAACAAUAAUAAUUAAUGAUAAUAAUGCUUUCUACUAUAGGCACUGUGACGUUUGUAGUGUUAUGGGCUGUGAUGAGCUAUGUGGUGUAGGUAGAGAAGAUUGCAAAUGAGGUAAACGGAAGUGAGGACUUCAGGGGCCGGUGGAAGAGUCACGGGGGCAGGCGUGGGCAAAGAGCACGUGGGGCAGUUCAAUAAGAGAUGGCGAGUGUGGAAGGAGAUGUUUUUCUUGACGAUAAGGACAGUGAUCGCUCAUCCCACCUUGGUCAACAGGUAAAGUCUCUGUAUUUCUUUCUCCCUUUUGCUUCUUUUUCUGUUGUCUUUUUCCUUCAUCACCCAACAGGCUAUUUCGGCCCAUAACAAAAAAAAAAAAAAUUACGUAUGUUCAGUGUAGUCCAUAUUUCAAACGAUAUGAUCAAACCAUUUGGCGGUGACACAGAUGUAGUUACUUGGUUGAAGAAGAUGAAGUUGGUUGCGAAACUCCACGGGAUAAACGACUUAGCAAGUUUUAUACCGCUAUACCUAGAUGGUUCGGCAUUGGCGCUAUACCUAGAAACAGAUGGAAUGUUCGAAGCGUACGCUUGCCUGGGGAAAGUAAAGUGGAUCGGCGAACAGGUCGACGUAUUUGUCAACGAACUCAGGAGAUUGGCUAAACUGGUGGGAUAUGAAGGUGAAUCACUGGACCGGACGGUCAAGUUAGCAUUUGUGAUUGGCUUUCCUGACCACAUGUUGGUCGAGUUGCAAAAGCUGCCGAAUGUUAACUCAAUGGCGAUGGCAGAUAUUAUAACUCGGGCUUGCGUGCUAGUUUCGUGUUGCAGGAUGACGUCGGUAGCAGCAACGAAAAGUGGCCAAGCAAGGAGUAGUGGAGAGGGGUCAAAGAAAGAACGUGUGCGACCAUUCAAAGGACAGUGUUUCCAGUGUCAGGGCCCGCACAUGGUGUGAGAAUCCAAGUCACCCAAGCUUGAGGUCAUUUGCUACCGGUGUCGAGAAACGGGUCAUAUUGCCAGCGAAUGUCUGCGGGGAAACGGUCUAAGGGAGACUACUGCUCCGGUAGUUAUCCCUUUGGAUCAAUAGAUGCACGUUUAUCAUUACCUGUAGUCGACAUUCUGGUGGAGGGGAAGAUGUCACGAGCCCUUGUGGACACGGGCUGUAUGAUGACCCUGAUAACUCCAGAAGUGGUAGAAACGUGGAGUGGAGAAAGCAGUGUAAGGGCAGUCGACGUAAGAGAGGUACACUGUGAAGGCAUUACAGAUGCACAGAUUGUGGUGCAGGGAACAAAGCUGACGCUGCAAGCAAUUGUAGUUGGCCACUUGGUGGACGAGAUUGACGUGGUGAUGGGGAUGGAUGAAAUCUCCCGUUUAGGGGGUGUCACUGGAAGGGAGAGCCCCCGACGUGAAAAAAAUAGAGUGGGCUGUUAUCAGCAUACUCUGAAAGGAGAUGCCACAAGUGAGUUCGAGGGGGAGGUGGAUUAAGGAGGGCAUAUUAAUCCUUUGGGUAGAAGUAGUAGAGAGCAGAGUCCUGCUGCUGAUGGCGAAGGUACAGCCCACAAAGCAUAAGGUCAGGCCAGUGCUUGACUUCCAAGAAUUGAACGACCACGUAUCAUGUCAUACAGGCGGCGAGGCCACAGAUGUCUGCGGAGACACAUUGCGAGAGUGGAGGCAGAUGACAGGGACCUCCACGGUCGUCGAUUUGAAGUUGGCAUACCUGCAGGUGCAUGUGGCUGAGAGACUGUGGAAGUACCAGCUUGUCAGGUAUAAGGGUCAGACAUACUGUCUGACCAGGCUGGGGUUCGGGCUAAAUGCAGCACCAAAGAUUAUGACAACAAUUCUCAAGGUCAUCCUGGGAAAGGUGGACAGUAAAAAAGGGCUACCAAUUCGUAUAUUGAUGACAUCCUGGUGGAUAAAACUGUAAUGCCAGCAACGGAGGUCAUAGGCCACCUGAAGAGUUUUGGACUGAUCACCAAGCCACCAGAGGCAAUGGAAGGUGGCGCUGCACUGGGCCUCAAGCUAUGGAGAGACAAGGGCUGCGCAUUGGUGUUCUGGCGAGGGAACGAGAUCCCUGAACUGGGCACCAGCAUGAGUAGAUGGGAACUGUUCUCAGUGUGUGGGAAGCUGAUGGGACACUACCCAAUUGCAGGUUGGCUCUGGACAGCAUGUAGCUUCAUCAAGAGAUGAGCCAAAGGAGUGAAGUGGAACGAUAGAGUGGGGAAGAAGACGACUGACAGGAUGCAGGAAGUCUUGGUCGGAUUGAGAGCAGAGGAUCCAGUGAGGGGCAGUUGGUAUGUUCCCAAAUCAAAGAGCAGGAUCGUAUGGUAUGUCGCCAGUAGCAUCGCAAUAGAGGUUGUCUUGGAAGCGGGAGGCGUCGUGGUGGAAGAUGCAGCCUGGCUCAAGAAGAUGGAUGACUGCAUGUGGUGGAGUUGGAUGCCGUGUUGAAGGGAGUGAACCUAGCCUUGAAGUGGGGGCUGCACACCAUAGAAAUUAGUACCAUUUCGGCCCUAAUUUCUGUACUUGGUUGGGUGAUGGCAGUCAUCACCAAUGAGUGGAGGGUGUAAACCAAAGGGGCUGCAGAGAUGUUGAUUGGGGACACUGCAUGAACUAGACGUCCUGACCAUGGUAAAGUGAGCCUGGUUGCAGGUGCUAGAGGAUGCAGAGCAGGCUGUGGCUGCAGUAUGCCAUCUGAGUGACUUUGAGUUGAGGAGAUUGCAUACCAUGCAUCACAUGGGGGUGGACAGGACGUUGUUCCUAGCCAGGAAAAUCGACUCUGAUGUAACAAGACAGAGCAUGCAGAGAGUGGUUAGCAACUGUGACAGGUGCCAGUCCAUCGACCCUGCUCCAGGUGUACAUGGGGUGGGAAGUAUUUCAGUGGACCAAAACUGGAAACAACUGGCAGUGGACAUAACAUACUACUGGCAGGGGACAUACCUCUCAAUGGUUGACUGCGGACCAGGGCAGUUGGCCAUAUGGAGGGAGAUGAAGACGGGGACUGCAGAGGAAAUCUUGAAAGUAUUAAAUAAGAUAUUCCAGGAACGAGGCCCCGUGGAUGAGCUGCUUCUGGAUAAUGGCACUGCAUUUCACUCGGAGGUGCUGAAAGAAAUGCUUGAUGGGUGGCAAGUCAGCCUCUUCUUCAGGGCAGCAUACCAGCCAAGCGGAAAUGAGGUGGUGGAAAGGCAUCAUCGUACAAUCAAGAUCAUUGCAGAGAGGGGCCACAUUUCACCAAUUGAGGCCAUAUUUUGGUACAAUAUGUCACCCAGGUCAGGACAAGCUGAGGAGUCAGUGCCACACAGGGCAAUAUUCAGGUACGAGUAGAGUCAUCUGUGUACUACAUCAAUGCGACCCGGGGCAGAGAAAGAGCAUGCCUUUGUGUAGGUCGGGGAAGAAGUUUGGGUAAAACCCCUAAAUGCAUGGUGUACAUCAUGAUGGGGAAAAGGAACAAUAAUCUCCAUCAAUUUGAAGAACAACAUCUCUGUCAAUGGUGUACCACACCAUGGUUUUGGACAUGCGGAAGAUUGUCCAUGCCUCAGAGGAUGGAACUAGCAGCAGUGGGCAAGAAGAUGAAGACAGCAGCGAUAGGCAAGAUGAUGAAGCCAGCAGCAGCAUGCCAGGAACUCAGCCUAGUCCCGGCGACCCCUCCUCCCUGGUUGGCUGAUUAUGAAACCAGUUAAGGUGUGAGUAGCGAGUGGGAAAGCCGGUUGAAUGAUCUGUAGAUCGGGGGGGGGGGGUUAUGGGCUGUGAUGAGCUAUGUGGUAUAGGUAGAGAAGAUUGCAGAUGAGGUAAACGGAAGUGAGGACUGCAAGGGCCGGUGGAAGAGCCACGGGGGCAUGCGCGGGCAAAAAGCACGUGGGGCAGUUCAAUAAGAGAUGGCGAGUGUGGAAGGAGAUGUUUUUCUUGACGAUAAGGACAGUGAUUGCUCAUCCCACUUGGUCAACAGGUAAAGUCUCUGUAUUUUUUUCUCCCUUUUGCUUCUUUUUCUGUUGUCUUUUUCCUCCAUCACCCAACAGGCACAAAGCCUGAAAUUUGGUGGAAGUCUAAUAAUAAUAAUACUGAGAAUAUCUGUAUCUUUUUAAAAGCUUUCAAAAUGUAAAUAUUACAACAAACAUUUAAUGAAAUCUUAAUUCUCAAUAGUUGGUCUCCUUUCCCGGAAAUAUGUAAUUGCUACACAUAACUAACACCUACAAUAAAAUGUCCAACUUGAUGUUACUUGAGGUCUCUGGGUAAAACUUGGAACAGCUUUUCUGAAGCUAAGCAAUGACAACAGUGUAAACAGCAAUAACCAUAACUUAAUAAUAAUAAUUUCUAACACUGGUAGGAGACCAGAAUUGGUGGGAAAAAACUGAUUAAAUCAUCUCCAGUAUUCGGCAGGUACGUUAUGUUUUAUCAAUCCCAGAAGGGUAUAAAAGGUAAAGUUGACCUUAGCAGGAUGUGAACCUAUGAUAUAUUUUGCCAUUCACUAAUUUCUAAGAUAGACAUGCAGUACAUGAGUGGUGUCUGUUUUAUCAACACCAGAAGGUUAAAAGAUAGUUUAUUUUGUAUAUUCCAACUCAGAAUGUUAUGGACGUAACUAAUUACCACAAGGCAUUUUGACUGAUUAUCAAUCAAUUCUGCUUUCAGAAUUUAAUAUAUUCUAACAAGCAUAGUUCCAUUUCUACUGGAUAAAACCAUAUUCUUUGAUUGGUUUUAGCUAUUAGGCUGUGUUCAUGUUGAGGCACCACCUUCAAUGUUUUCAAUUGAUUAUAUUGAUUCCAGUGUUUGGUCUAGUAUCUGUUUUAUUGAUCUCAAGUGUUAUAAGAAGCAGGUCAGCUUCAACAUAAAGGAAGCCAACUUGGUUGGGCUUAAAUGAAUCUAAGUGUUUUUGGUUUGAUGCACCAGCUUUGUUCACCCAAUGAUGAUAGAAACAUAUACAUAUGAUUGGUUUCCAUACAGUUUCUGCCUACGAAAUCUCAUUCAACUAAUCAUUAUUAUAGUGGCAAGCUGGCAUAAUCAUAAGUUAUUGAAGAAAAUGCUUGGUGACAUUUCCUAUGAAUUUAUGUUGAGUUGAAAAGUCAACUUUGCCGUUCAUCCUUUCUGGGCUGAUAGAAUAAAACCAGUUGAAAACAGGUAUCAACCUAACCCCUUCCCUUAAAUUUACUGGCCUUAUGCUAAAAUUUGAAAUUGUUAUAAGACGAGCUGGGAGAAUCAUUAGUACACUGGAGAAAAUGCUGAGGCAUUUCUUUUCGCUUUUUGUGUUGUGUGUUCAAAUUUCACCAAGGUGACUUUGCUUUUCAUCCUUUCAGGGUUAAUAAAAUAACUACCUGUUAAAUACUGUUAUCAACUUCCCCCUCCUGUUAUUAUUUCUAUUAUUACUAUUCUGCUGCUUUUCACAAAUUCCAUUUUUCUGCAUUGUCAAUCAACUCCGAUUUCCUAUCUUUCCUAUGACCCAUAUGUGUGUCAUUGGUCAUUUGUUAAACUACUUCAUUUCUACAGUUGUCACCUACAUCUCUCUCUCUCUCUUAUCUUCCCUACUUAUCAUCCCUCAACAUUUGUUCAUCAUUAUAUUCUUCCUCUCACCCCUUCCCUAUAUCUAAUCAUCUCAUUCUCCCAUAUCCUCUUCCAACCUCUACCAACCCACAUUGCUUGUUCUCCUGCCACCCACCCACCCACAUAUUAUUGUUAUCUCUUUCUGUCCCAUCGCAGCUGCUCCCAUUCUCUCCUAAUUUGAGUAGACAUGCAAUUCUUCUACCUACAGCAAAAAGUCUGUUCUGUUCUGACCCAUUUCUCUCAUACUUUAGCCCCUCAUCUCCUAGCAAAAAGCUGCUACUUUCUACUGUAGUCUCACUUAGUUGAAGGAGAUCUUAGGCUUGCAGGCUGCAUGGUGGCCUUACUAGUGUCUGUGGCUUGAAAAGGGUGCACAGUAUAUGGUAUAAAGUGGUUGGCCUUAGGAAGGUAGUCUGGCAGUUGAAAACAUGUCAAAGUAGAUUUUGGAGUGUAAUGUAGUCCUCAGACUUGUUGGAAUCUGUCAAACCAUCCAACCUAUGCCAACAUGGAAUAUGGACGUUAAAUGAUGGUGAUGUUGAUAUUAUCAACUGGAGAUUAUGGGAGAAGACAUAACUACAUUUAAGAAAGAAGAAUAAUGGAAAAAUUUACUGUAUUUGGAGAAAAAGCAUUAAAUUUGGUUAGAAAUACCUAUAAAACCAAAUUUAUUUUUUUAUCUAUUUAAAUCUAAGGCAAACAAUGGAAGAAUGAAAGUUUUUACUGGUUAAAGAAGAAAAAUUCAAAUUUGUUUCUGUUUUCUUUCUUUUUUUUAAAUUUUAUUUUUUAGAAAUGUGUUUAUGAACAUGUAAAAACUAACACUUUCUUUUUUUCCGAGCUGAAAUUUGAAACUGAAUCUAAGGAUUCUUGUUCGUCUGGCCAAACAGGCACAAGAAAAAUUUCUUUGUCCUGUCAAAAAGUGAUGGAUGGAUUUCCCUUCGAUCUAUAACCUAAGCUGUGUCAUUUAAGGUUCAAGUGGACAGGAGGUGACCUACAUAGGUGGAAAUUACUCCUGACAUAUGUCUGUCCUUCUAGCUGUCAUGACCAUUAUAAAUACUGUCAGACAUAUGACAGAGGGCCAGAUAGCCAUCAACCGGCAAACAGUCAAGAGAUUGCAGAUAGCCAUCACCAGGCGAACGGUCAAGAGACAAGCAGACAGCCAGCAGUUAACUUGCGCCACUCAAGCAGCCAACAUAGAACCACAUAUUCAGCAUGAACAACCCAACACAGUAGCAGUCGCAGAACAUAAACAGACACCACUGAAUGACCAACGCAUACACAGACACAAAACGUGCCCAGUUCUAUCUCAUCACAUCAAUACAGUAUUUCCCGUUUAUUUUCAACUUCGCCAACUCAAAGCAAGUUGGUAAUGUCAUGUAACGGGUUUUCUGGUGUAUACAACACUUAAAUACAAGUGUUGAUUAAAUAAACUAUUUAAACCACAAUCUGAUGCUUUCCCAUUGUUUAACUUUGUUGUUGUUCACAUGCCUGUUUCAUUUCCUACCUCAACAUCUUUUGCUACACCAUCCUACUAUGAACAGUUUCACUAUUUCUUUUUCAAAACAUUUAAUUUUAACUAAAAUACCUCAGAAUUAAGGAAGCCAAUGGAAAAGUUUUUAAAAAAUGGUUCUGUUGAGUAUAAAAACAUUUAUGGCAUGAUAAUUUCACAGAAAUAUUUAGAAAUUACCAACUGAAGCAAUCAGACAAAACUUGAACUUGGUCCAGACCUAAUUCCUUUGUUAUAUUAUUUCUGUGUGCACUGGUUAAAAACUACCUAUAGAUAUUUCUGCAAAUACAUAAUAGAAUUGGUAGUUGUGCGAGUUUCUUAAAGAGAGUGUGUUGGCGUGUAUUUAUAUCAAUGUUUUUUUUAUUAACAACUGGAGUGGCUGUGUGGUAAGUAGCUUGCUUACCAACCACAUAGUUCUGGGUUCAGACUCACUGCAUGGCACCUUGGGUAAGUGUCUUCUACUAUAGCCUUGGGCUGACCAAAGCCUUGUGAGUGGAUUUGGUAGAUGGAAACUGAAUGAAGCCCAUUGUAUAUAUGUAUAUAUAUGCACGUUUGUUUAUAUGUUUGUGUGUCGCUUGACAACCAAUGGUGGUGUGUUUACGUACCCGUAACUUAGUGGUUUGGCAAAAGAGACUGAUAGAAUAAGUCCUGGGGUUGAUUUACUUGACUAAAGGCAGUGCUCCAGCAUGGCCGCAGUCAAAUGACUGAAACAAGUAAAAGAGUAACUAAAUUUCUUCUUGGGGAAAAACAUUUCUCAACUGUUCUAUUUAAUUUCCAAGAAUUUCUCUGAUUAUCAAAUCCACUUUAUGACCAGCUUUAUGUUCUCUAAAAAAUAUCCUUGCAACCGUUAGUGAAUUGUGUCCUCCUCAAAGGAUUUAUCUCUCCCCAGAGUGUUGACUGGUUCUGGAAAUCACAAACCAUAAGGAAGGUAAAUGAAAUAAAUCCACAAGGAAUUGAACCUCCGUUGCUGAUUUGACUCACUGAGAACUUGCUACAUUUCACAUUGGUUGAUAUAUGUGGACAUAAACAGAACUAGCCACAGUUCAAAAGUAGAAAAAACAUCAAAUAAAUUAAAACAUUUUGCUAUUAAAAGAAUGACAUAUUUAUUAGCAUUUAAAAACCAUUUAAAUUACAAUUACUUCAUACAGAGUCUUUGACUAAUUAGUCACUGGAUCUAAUAAACACACUAUUGUACAUAACAAUCUGUAUUAGAUUAAUUAGAUAAAUUAGUUGCUCUAUGGGACUAGUCAUCAAAUAUUUCAGAAUUUGACCUAAUUACAUUUUAUAAUUGCUGAAGGAUAAUUUCUCUCAAGUUAACUUGCUCUAGAUAUACUGUUCCAUUCCCAAACUCUGCAACAAAAAAAUAACAACAGCAAAAAAAUAAAUAAAUCAACAUUGAUAUGUACCCUAUUAUGCAACACAAACUGAAAUCCAACUCAAUAUCAAUAUAAAAAAACUAAAAAAGGGAAUUAAUAAAGAAAAUAAACCAUAAACAAGAAACUAACAGCAUCUUUAACACAAAUGAGUGCAUGUCAUUAUAACAACUUGAUAUAAUAUAGCCACAUUCUAACAGCCAGGAGAUAUCAUUUUGAAAUAUUUUUUGAAAAUCAGCUGUUAAUAGCCAAAAGAAACAUGACCAGAAAAUGCAACUUGGAUCACUUUUUUCCAUCAAACAUCAGAAAGACAAUAAGGAAAUUUUCAAAUCUCAAAAAUUUAAGGAGCCAACAAAAUCAAAAGCAUAAACCUAAAAUACUUUGGUCCUGAAGGAAUCACUAUUCUCCAGCCACUCAUGCAAACAACAAAAAAUCCAUAUGAGCCUCCCUCCCUCUGUCUCUCUCUCUCUCUCACACACACACACACACACACACACACAUCACUCUUCUAUGUACAUUCUCAAACAUUUCAGAUGUUCAUCCUUGUUUUAGCAAACUCAUACUUUACCUUCUUCAAAUCACAAAAUAGAGCCACAUCACUAUAGUCAAUUAUCAUUACCAUUACAAUAAUUAUACACCUUAUAGGAAAAUACAUUCUGACUUCAACAACAAGCUUGCACACAUCAUUUGAACGAUGCUUUGACAUCAGUAAAGAUAUUUAACUCCAUGUUCUCAUUAUUCACAUGAAAUACUGACUAGUAAACUCUCAGUUUGACAAGCCUUUGUUGUAAAUAACAAGACACUGGGUCCUCUUCCAAACUUUUUUAACCCGUAAAUGAUGAAUGAUGUAGUUGCAUCUUUUGACCACCCCUUAGAUACAGCUAUACGACUUAUUCAAUCAACCACAUGACCUACACAAAAGACAGAAAAUGCUAAGGUUUUACAUACAUUGCCAACACAUGUAGAAAACAUAGUAAACAAAGUAAAAUGGCUCUCAAACAUGGAGCUCUCACAGGCACCACAUGAGUUAUGCCAAUCUUGCUUUUGCUCUGAAUCUUUCCCUUACAAACCACAAAGAGUUCAAAACAGUGCACUUCGUACCAUUGCAAGCUGCACACAAACCACUUGCACAAUGGAACAAAAAUAUUGGUACAAGGCCAGCAGGAGGAAAGUAUAAGUUGAUUACAUCAACUCCAGUGCUCAACUGCUUAUUUUUAUUGACACUAGAAGGUCAAGAGUCAAAGUUGAGCUCAGGAAUUUGAACUUAGAAUAUAAAGAUGGACAAAGUGUUGCUAAGCAUUUUGUCUGGUGUGCUAAUGAUUUUGCUAGCUUGCUACCCUACAAUUUCACGAUUGAAUACCUCAACUUGCCUUUGAGCAAUGUACUUCAAUUUCACAUUGCUCCAGUUUACUCACCUAUAAUGAAUACUAACCAGUUUCUUCUACUAGCUUUCACACCCUCAAUCUUCUGUUGUGUCGAGAGCUUGUGUGCCACUCCAUAAAUAUCUAAAAGCAGCUAGCAAAAGUUUAGUCCAUAUAACUAAGCCAUAAAAAUGACAGCUGGCUGGAAUGUAUUGUUUUGUAGAGAUAUACAGCAACAGUAAGAAGUGAAAAGAAGCAGCAGCUGUUAUGUUCAGGCUAAGUUCAUCUUAUUUACAUUGAUUGUGGCCACCACCAGGAUCAACAGCCAUACAGAAAGUGGUUUCUAAGGCAAGUACAACAUGAUCUGAUUGCAACACUUCACCCCUGUUGGAUAACGUGUAGUAUGAUCCUCAACUAGACGAAGGUAUGGUAUAACAAAAUGACAGACUCGUGGAACACACCUAAUCAUUUGUAUGACUACCUAUGUGGCUACAUAAGAGAUAUAGUAGAAUCAUAGACAGAUUAUCUGAGAACAUAAGCUUCAUUUGUAAUAGAUGCACUGGAGUAGUGUAUAAGAGCACACCGGAAAUAAUGUCUUAAAUUGGCCAGAUGGUUUAAUAGAAGUAGUUGAUAGCUUUUGAUACAAGAGGAGUUGUUGCUCUGAAAGUAUAGUUGCUACAGUAAAAACAGGUUAGAGAAAGUUCAGUGACUGCUACUACUGCUGAUGAAAAAGAUUUUUCUCUUAGAGUGAAGGGCAGACUGUAUGAUAUUUGUGUUAGAACUGCAACGUUGUAUGGUAGUAUAAUAAUGGAAGGCAAGGUUUACGAUAUCGAGAGAAUAUCGCCUUCUCCCAUUUUAUCUUGUUCUUUAUGUAGUUCAGGCAAAGAAAGAAGUCUUUGAGCAUAAAUGCUAUUUACAACUGGUUUAUUUACAAGUUUCACAGAACAGGUAAAGUGUGUUGCUCUCAGCAACCAUCUUGAGCUGCAUGUGUGGUGUUGUAUCUCCAUUAGUGCGGGCACAUUGCCUCUGGAGAUACAGCAUGCAGACAGGCCCAGCUAGUGAAGCGUGCUCAGCAAGCGCUGCUACGUAGAAGCAGAGAGAGUGAAUCUAUAUCUGUUUUGCCCUUAUAUACAGUUUGCCAUCGUGAGCAUGGCAAAUGGAUGCAGGUGAGGUAUCGCUCCAGUCUCAGAGAUGGCAAUGGCUGCCACGAGAUCUCAUCCAAUAUGGCACUGACUAGUGCCACUACAAGGUCUCCCCCCUGAGUGCAGCAGUACAAAAACAAUAAUUGGAGCAGGCAAAGAUGGUAACUGAUCACAACCAACAAGAUAUGGUACAAAAAUGUGAUAAGUCAAAUAGAAAAAUAAUUGCAAGAAUUAUAAAUUGGCAUGCACAAAAUUUGAAAAAAAUGUUCAUUGGCAGAGUAUUGGAACUGUCCAGUAACACAAGAAAGUGAUUGUCUGUCACAGGAGACACAAAAGAGAUUGUCAGAUAUAAAUAGUUUUAGUGAGUUUUUUAAGCCAAUGCACAGUGCAUCCAGUCCUGUUGACAUAAGGUUUAUUCGUGUUAGAUAGUGGUGACGAAAGUGGAGGUGUAGGUGAUGGUGUGGUCAAAAGUGGUUGUAAAGGACCAAAGGUGGGCGUCUUUGGCGUGUCAUUGAAGGGUGUGAACACCUCAAAAUGUGCCCUUUUAAGUCUGCUCGACCGUUGAUGUUGAGACUAAAAGUUUUGGGUGUGCGUGAUAGCACAUGAAAUGGUCCCUUAUAAGGAGAAACAAUAGGUCCUCUGACAGAAUCAUCCUGAACAAAAACAUGAGUCUACUUGUCAAUGUCCAGUGGGACGUGAGAGGGAAUAGAUUGGUCACGUGGAUACAUGGGUGGAAGACUCGAGAAAUAAGAGCGAAGUCUGGUGACAUACGAUGUUGGAUGAGGAUGCAAUGAAUUGUCUGGCACUAACAAGUGUUAGGGUGGUACUGUAAAGGAGUUCAGCAGAGGAGAAACCUAAGUCUGUUUUAACAGCAGUGCGACAACCAAGAAGAACAAUAGGCAGAAAUUCUGUCCAAGACUGCGGGUCAGAAGUAUCGCGUAGAGCGGCCUUCAGUUGCCUGUGAAAACGUUCGACUAUCCUGUUGGAGGCUGGGUGGUAGCUGGUCAUAUGAAUGUGAUGAACCCCUAGGAUUCAUGAUAAUUUACGAAAUAGGGAAGCCUCAAACUGGUGUCCAUGAUCAGUGGUUAUUUUAGUUAGGACACCAAAGCAAGCAAUCCACUUAGAAACGAAAGCUUGAGUAACUGACUCAGCGGAAAUGUCCACUAUUGCAAUGGCCUCUGGCCAAUGAGAGAAACAAUCGAUGCAUGUCAAUGUGUAAGAGAAACCACGGCUGACAGGCCAUGGUCCAACCAGAUCAAUGUGGACGUGGCGAAAGCGAGUCUCCAUGUGUACAGUGACAAAUUUAGUGUACAGGUAGACAUUCACCAGGGCUUGGUUCUCGAUCUCCUCCUAAUCAUCAUUGUCCUCAAGGCCAUGACAGAGGAAUAUGCCUGUGGAUUUUAGAAUGCUGGCAUUUUACACAAGAGCAUGCCCAAUCGGUGAUCAUCUGGUGCAUAUUAGGCCAGAAAAAUCGAGCCGUAAUAAGCUUCACCGAGGAAGUGACGCCAGGAUGUGACAAUGAAUGCAAAGCAUCAACAACAGAGCACUGGUGGUUCUCAGGUACAAAUGGUCUGGGAGAACUAGUAACUGUGUCAAAGAAUGGUGCCUUCAGCUAUCGUAAGUGGGAGAUAGGCAAACUUGCAACAGGACAACUUGGUAGAAACUAAAUCCAAUGUGUCCAGAGCUGGCUGAUCCUGCGCAAUGGCAGUCAAAUCGAUUGCAGCUGGAGAUGAAAGGGAGCACACAGGAAGAUGAGAGUGUGUGUCAGCAGGCACGUUCUCUGUUCCAGGUAUGUGCCGAAUGCCACUCGUGAACUGGGAAACGUAGUCCAGGUGAUGAAAAGCAUGAGGCGAGUGUUUGUCCAAUUUAGAUGAUAGAGCAAAUGUAAGAGGCUUGUGAUCAGUAUAAAUCACAAAAUCUCAGCCCUUGAGUUCAUGUUGAAAAUGACGAGCUGACAGGUAGAUUGCCAAGAGCGCACGAUCAAACGUACUGGACCAACGUUCAGUUGGCUUUAAUUGAAAGAAAAAAUGCCAAAGUUUUAGUCUGAUUGUCUACGGUGUGCUGCAAAACAGCACCAACUGCAGAAUCCGAUGCAUCAACAGUUAAAGAGAGAGGAGCAUCGGGAACCAGAUGUGCAAGCAAACGGACAGAAGCUAUUUCCUUCUUGAUUGACUCAAAAGCAGAUAACGCCUCGGCAAGUAAUAGGAGAAUUCUUUUUUGUAUUGGCUUUCAAUAGUUGAGUUAAGGGAAGUAACUUGCACAUUUAGGUAUUUAUAUAAUACAAAAAUGCUGAAUAAAAAGAUGGUAGUAAUGAAGGUGCUGGCUGGAUAGUGAACUCUAAAAUCUUAUCAGCCAUGGUAGCUAGUUGAUCCAUGGUGUUGGUAUCAACUGCUGUGGCUAAGAUGAUUUGCACAUUGGGAGGUAGCUGGGAGAAGAAAAGCUUCUGUAAAAGCGAGUUAUCCUCAGUCGUGUCGCUAAGCUCACUGAGAUGGCAUCCUGUUUCCUAACUCUUCAUCUUGCAUAAGCUGCUUAAACUCAGACUCUGCGGAUUUAGUGCUCCGUCGGAGCACCUCGGAUUUGACUACCUCGUAAGUCGCAUCCAGACGAGGAUCAAUGAUGAGAUCCCUGACUGAAGUAGCGAGUGGUGCAGGAAUGCUACAAAAGAGAAGAUUUAAUUGUUGCUGCGAUGGUGCAGCAUGUGCCGCAAAAUAUGCCUCCAACUGAGCAAACCAAAGCGUGACGUCACCAGUGAAAGAGGGAAGAUUGGUAAACUCAUUUUUCUGGGUUUUUUCUUUCAGAGGAAAAAAGAAAUGGACAAAAAAAAAUGACAAAAAGUGUUGUUGGAAAUAGUAGCGUAUGUGCUAGAAAAAAGAAUUUCAGAACAAAAUUUAUAGAAUUGAUUACUGUAUGUGCAGACAAGAAAAAUUUUGUUGCCAAACCUAUUUUUGUGCUGAAAGAAACAACAAAAAAAAAAAUGCCAAUUGUAUGUGUGUACUUGUACUAAUAAAAUUUUUUUUGUAUUUUUUGUUGUCAGUUGAAAAAGUCGCCAGAAAAUGGCGCGUGAGCAGUAAAAUUCUAUUUCCACGUGGAGCAAUUGGCUUGUGAACUGGUAAUGUUGUGUUUUACCACGUAAGGCAAUCCAAAUAUUGCGGAAGACAGGAACGAUGGCUGGAAGUUGAUGGUUGGCGUGCUAGAAGUUGAUGGAUGGCUGGAGUUGUGGCCAUUGAUGUGUUUAUCAGUUGGGAGCAAGUGAAAGCCACCAGUCUGUGAUUCGGUUGAGGCAUCUAUACGAUAAAGCUUGCGGCUGCCGAAAAUCAUUUUUCUACAUUGGGGUCACCAUUUUAUAACAGAAGGCAAGGUUUACGAUAUCAGGAGAAUAUCGCCUUCUCCCAUUAUAUCUUGUUCUUCAUGUAGUUCAGGCUCCAGCAGGUGAAGAAAGAAGUCUUUAAGUACAAAGCAAUUUACAACCAGUUUAUUUACAAGUUUCACUAAAUAGGUGAAGUGUGUUGCUCUCAGCAACCAUCUUGAGCUGUGUGCGUGGUGUUGUAUCUCCAUUUGUGUGGGCACAUUGCCUCUGGAGGUAAAACAGGCAGACAGGCCCAGCCAGUGAAAUGUUCUCAGCAAGCGCUGCUACGUAGAAGCGGAGAGAGAGAAUGAAUCUAUUUCUGUUUUGCCCUUAUAUACAGUUUCCCAUCGUGACCCACGUUGUGAUCUCGAGCAUGGCAAAUGGAUGCAGGUGAGGUAUCGCUCCAGUCUCAGAGAUGACAAUGGCUGCUGCAAGAUCUCAUCCAAUAUGGCACUGACUGGUUGUGCCGCUACAGUAGUGAGACAUGGGCUUCAAAUGAAGUGGACUUGAGAAGACUGGAAAGAAAUGAAGCAAGCAAAGUGUGUAAGUAUGGAAGAUAUAAUACAAAAAUGCUGAAUGAAAAGAUGGUAGUAAUGAAGAUUUUUGAAUUCAUUUUUUUUUGUGUAAAGAAAUUUUUAAAUUCUCUGCUCAAUCAAUUCUCAUGUUUGGGAACUUAUUUAAACCCCAUGUGGUGAAAUUUUCCUUAAGUCUUCUAAGAUAAAUCAACUUAUGAGUUUCUUUUGAUAAAAUGUGCUUUUCUUAUUCAAUCAUUUUAUCUUUUUCCCUUUCAUCCCAGUAGCUUUAUUGAUAGAUAAUGCCUGAUACCUCAGUUCUAGUGUCAUGUUACUUUUUCAUUAUUACUGGGAAUGUUUAUGAAUACAUAUUUUUGUUAACAUUUUUAUAACUCUCCAGGUAGAAGUACUACUGAUGCUAUCUUCUUAGACAGUUGUAGGAAAUGUAUUUAGCUAAGAAUAAAUCCUUGUACUUGGCCUUUUGUUGAGAUGAAGAAUGCCUUUGACAGAGUACUUUGCUCUGUGAUAUGGUGGUCUCUGAGGAAGCUAGAGAUAGAUGAUUGGCUUGUGAAAGCAGUACAGACCAUGUACAAGGGUGCUGCCAGUAAGGUAAGAGUUAGCCAUGGGUACAGUGACAAAUAUAGUGUACAGGUAGACAUUCACCAGGGUUUGGUUCUCAAUCUCCUCCUAAUCAUCAUUGUCCUCAAGGCCAUGACAGAGGAAUUUCAGACUUGUUGUCCCUGGGAACUACUAUGUGCUGAUGAUCUUUACCUCAUAGCAGAAUCUUUAACAAAACUACGAAAGAAAUUCCAGGAAUGGAAGGAAAACCUGGAAUUGAAGGGCCUUAAAGUUAACUUAGCAAAGACCAAAGUUCUAGUGAGCAAGAAAAUAGACAAGACUUUCCAUCCUUUAGGUAAAUGGCCCUGCUCAAUAUGUAGGAAAGGUAUAGGCAGGAAUUUCACAUGGUGUACCCAGUGCAAGUUUUGGACAUGUGAGGUGAAGUGGAACCACAAGAAGGUUAAUGGAGAAAGUAAUGUUUGCAUGUGGAAGGUUCACAGGAACCAUAAAGAUUACAGAUACACAGGAGACUGGCUCCCUCAAAUGCCCUGGAGGUUUUCUAGAGGUAGUAGAUAAUUUUUGUUAACUAGGUGAUUUAAUUAGCAAUGGAGAAGGACAUUCCAAAAGUGUAGUUAGUCAAAUAAGAAUAGGAUGGAGAAAAUUCAGAGAGCUGUUACUUCUGUUGAACGGCAGAUUGUAUGAUGCUUGUGCCCAAAGAGCAGUGCUGCAUGGUAGUGAAACAUGGGCCUAAAUACAGAGGACAUGCAAAGACUAGAGAGAAAUGUAGUUGAUAUCCUCUACUGCGUGUGCUAUGUUAGUGUGCAUGUACAACAAAGUUAGGCAUAAGAGGAAUCAGAUGUAGCAUGCAAGAGAAGAACAUGUUGGUUUGGUCAUGUGAUACCUAUGGAUUUAUAAAAAAAGUAAUGAUUGCUUAAAGUGGAUGGAACUUGUUGAGAAGGGAAACCUAGGAAGAUAAAAGAAGUAUUGGAGGUUGAUCUCGAGAUGCUGAGCUUUACAGAGAUGAUAAAGGACCAAGAUGAUUGGCAUUUCACUGUGCUUGAAAAGACCCACCACAGCAGAAAUGAUAUCCUAAAACUACCAUGAUUUAUGGUUGUGUGGAGUUCUGUCCCACCACUCUAUCUCUGCCCCAUCUUGCAUUUCCCCCUUAUCUCAUCCCUUAAUACUCGUCACUUUUCUAUCUAUGGUACGUCUCAUCUGUAAUCAUCUGAGAGAAAAAUAGGCUCAUACUGUAUCUCCUCCCUUUUGGGUGCUUUUCUCUCCUUACCCCAGAGCAACUUCCAUUUGUCAUCUUUAACCAUCUGUCCUUACACUCUUAUGAAACUUCCCUUUCUAUCUCUCCCUGCCUAUUCACCUUACUCAAUCUUUUGUACCACUUCCCUUGUAUUCACCCCCCCCCUCACUUCUUCACCACCACCUUUCACUUUUUCUCUCUAUCUUUCUCUAUAAGUCUUCCCCAACCUCACUCUCUUUCUUUUCUUUUCCAACAUUUAUCUCCUCUGCAACAAGACACCUAUCUCUAACCCUCUAUUAUACUUUAACCUCACAUUUACUGGUACAAAGCCAUAUCCUUCAACACUAUUCUCCCUCUCAGUUGAGGAACCUUUGUUCUGCAAGUCACAUGAUGCCAUGUAAAAAAAAAAACAUCCAGUACACUCUAUAAAGUGGUUGACAUUAGGAAGGGCAUCCAGACAUAGAAACUAUGACAAAGCAGAUAAUAGAGAUUGGCACAGUCUCUGGUUUACCAGAACCUGUCAAACCAACCAACCCAUUCCAGCAUGGAAAAUGGAUCUUAAAUGAUGAUGAUGAUACAAUAGGUUUCUUUAAGUUUUUAUCUGUCAAAUCCAUUCACAAGGCUUUGGGCAGCCAGGGACUAAUAGUAGAUGACAUCUGCUCAGGGUUUUGUACAGUGGAACUGAACCCGAAACCAUGUGGUUAGGAUGCAAAGUGUCUUUAAAUGGGUACCGUUACACUUAUACUUAUUUUAUCCAUCACAUGACUUAACUUCUACAUUUUGUUUUCAUAAGGGGAUGUAACUCAAUGCACUCUUUUACACAAACACACACAUUUUUAGAUAUAAAUACAUACACAAACAUUUGAAUGUCUAUAUAUAUGGGUAUCUUUAUAAAAUGCUGUGUUGUUAUAUGUCCCUCUAAUCAAAACGAAAGCAAAACUUAAAUAUAUCAACUGUCUGUCUCACCAUUAUCAUCAUCAUCAUUGUAUUAAAGUCCACUUUUCUGUGCUUGCAAAGGUGAAACAGAACUUAUUGAGGCAAACGUUUUAAUGGUUAAAUGCACAUUCUUCACUUGUUUCCAAGUAAGGUAAUAUUUCCCUGUGGUCAGAUAUGCUUUCACAGAAGGAUAUAGCUUGUAUAACAGUAACACUUUUCUUGUGAGGUUAAGACAGAAAGGCACAAACACACACACACACAGACAGAUGCAUGUGAACACACACAUAUAUGUUUAUUAAACUUUUCUUUGUAAAUGUUUAAUAAAUAUGUACUCUACUUAUAGUAAAGUAAGCAUAAAUUUUUACAUUCUAAUGGGGUUUUUUCUUGCACCCUUUGAAAAUGAGUCUAGAUCAAACUCAUAUCAGACACUACAUACUGUGUGAAUUCAAAAGGGGAUUUUCAACAAUGGAAGUGGUAAGAAAUAUUCAUUCUUUCUGUGAAAAUGAAAUUUUAAGAUUCCAGGCAUGCCAACGAUGGUUUGGCCAGUGUUGCUCAGAAAACUUUUCGCUUCAAGUUUCCUCUCAACCUGAAUGACCAAGCUCUGUCUAUACUCAGCUUCUAAAAGUUGUAGUUGAGGAAAAUCCAAAUUUCAAGAGAAUUGGCAGAACAGUUCAAUUCAAGCCACACUUUGACAAUAAAGCAUCUUCAUGGACUAGAUAAAGUGUCUAAGUUGGUCAGCAGAUCCCUCAUUAUCUGACUUCUUGACUUAACCAAGAGUUGUCAUUGUGGAGCAUCCUUACUAUCAUUCAACUACUCAAUUUACUCACACACAGCAUCUUCAGAGCUUUGUCACUAAUUCAGUUCUUAAACAAAUUGAAAACUGUUGACAUUUUUGAAGAGGAUUGGUCCUGUAGAAAAAGUUUACAUCAAAUUUUGUGGCAGCAUUGUAGAAGAGUAAGUAAUACCUCCACUCAAGUUUAGGUUGAAAUAACUUUUUUUUAUUUUAGAAGCAAAAUAUAUUUGUCUUAGCUUCAAUGAUAAAAGAAAGCAUGAAGAAUUUCAUAGUUUUGGUCCCAUGCAACAAAAAUUUGUAUCAAAAAAGUUGUGAGGGAAAAUAUUAAAAAAAUAUAAAAAGUAAGGCAAAAGGUGAAUUUAAGUAUAAUUAGCUUUUUUAUUAUAAAAACAAACUAUAUUUUAAUUAAGCUUAAAUGAUAGAGCUCAACUCGAGGAAUUUCAUGGUAUCAAUCUCAUGCAAUGAAGUUUUAAAAGAAAAAAGUUAUGUGUGAUUGUUUCUCAAAUUUGAGGGUGAUAAUAUAGUUCUAUCCUUUUUUAUGAAUAUUGUUCUAGGGGACUUUUAAUAUGUCACCAGCAUCAUUGAGGUAAGGAAAAGAUUAUCAAUGACACUGCUAAUUUGCAAUUAGUUUAAUUACAUCAUCUGUAUCAAAAAUUAAAAUAUUAUUUAGAAAUUUAUCAAAUUUAUUAUUCAAUUUUCAAUAGGGUAAAAUCUUAAAUUAUUAAUUGACACAUUAUUUAUUAAUUAGCAUAAUAGCAUACAUGGAAAAAUGCGAGCAAGAGAAAUAAUAUUCUUAAGAUUAUAGACCUGGAAAAAUACAGGACAAGCUAUUACAUCUGGUAAAGUAUAGAACAAAAAAUUUUUACUUAAAAUAUUGCAGCUAAGGAUAAAAUUUGAAUAUUAAAAACUAGCAGAGUUACCCGGCGUUGCCCGAGUUACAUACAAUUGAAGAAUUAGACUUUUCUAUUAUAUUUUCUGUAAUGAACUGGAAUACCUGUUUCGAAUUUCAUCAAAAUUGCAAAUGAAGGUUAUUUCCCUCUUUACACACCCAAACAAAAUUGUAAUCAUGCCACAUGUAUCCCAUACUACUGAUUUUUACGCGCAUAUUCCAAAAUUCCAGUCUUAUAGAACUUGUUAAAAGGAUUUUGCUCCUGAAAAAUGGAGGUCAUGGAGCAAAGUGGAAAUAAAAUAUUUCUACUUUGCAAGUUUGAGUCAAGUACUCCCUUGCACGCUCCCUUGCUUCUAUUGUGGUGAAUUUACCGCCUCUGCUUAGAUAUCUUUCAUAGUCGCACCAAGACACUUUUCGAUGGUGCUUUCCUCCAGGUGUUCAAAUCUUUUUUUUUUCCUCUACAUAGUAUACUUUAUAGACAAUAGUUUUUUCUUUAAUUUAAUUUUUUAUUUCGUUUGGUGGUGUUAUUCUAGAUUCACCGUCUUUGUCGGUGAUCAAUCCAUAUUUCUUCCAUUUUAAUUUCAAUGAGUUCGCACCUGCCAACGGCUGCAGCGAAAUUCAUUUUUGGACUUUCUUCUAUCGAAGGUAUUCUAACAAAAAUGCUUCCGUGUAAACGGUGAAAAUAUUGCCAAUUUCCCCAAACAGGGAUACAAUUCAAUUUUUAAACAAUACCUAAAGCUCCUUCUCUUACAAUUAUUUAACAAAUGCAACACAACAACAUUACCUUUACGAGGAACCAACAAACGUGAUAACAAUAGUUAAACAGUAAUAAUAAUAACAAUCCUUACAGUGAAUCAAAAAACAGUACGCAGUUGAAGCUAUAGUACUUUAUGUAUAAUAAUCCAUCUAGACUAUUCCAUUUCUGCACGCUAAUUUUAUUUUUAAUUUAUUCCCAUUCAUGUGAAACCACUUAUUCAAGUUCAAAUCAUUGAUGCAAUUUUAUACCAAUUGCUAUUUUUACUUUUUUUAUGUUACAAUUAUAUUAUACUUUAGUUUGAUUUUAAUUAUAACUUAUUAUUAUUAUUUUUAUUGUUAAAGUGAAAACAUCUGACAUAAAAUAGAGAAAUGUUUUGUUUCACUUUUAACACGUAAUACUGAAAUAGUGGAGAAGAUAUGAUAUUGCUAUGGGCUCGCUCUAGGCAAGAAGUUGAACAUUUUUUUUGCCCAUGAAACUACAUGGACCCUAAGUAAGGCAUGUGUAAAAUUUGAAUGAAAUUGGUUGUGUAGUUCUGAAGUUUUAGGGAAUCGUAGUGGAGAAGAUAUGAUAUUGCUGUGGGCUCGCCCUAAGCAAAAAGUUAAAAACGUUUUUGCCGAUGACACUCCCCGGACCCUAAGUAAGGCAUAUGUAAAAUUUGAAUGUGUAGUUCUGAAGUUUUAGGGAAACACACAGACAGACAGACAGACACACAUUCUUAGUUUUAUAUAUAUAAAGAUAUAUAUAUAUUCUUUUUUUUCUUUUCUUUUUUCUUUUUUCUAUAUAUAUAUGUGUGUGUGUGUGUGUGUGUUUGUAUUAUAUAUAUAUAUACACACACACACAAAGAUAAAUUGAUAGAUACAACUGAGUGGGCAAACAAAAAUAUGAGACACAGCGUAGUGCUUUUUUUAUGUUGAUAAACCUGGUACUUAUUCUAUUAGUUUCUUCUUGUGAAACCAGUAAGUUAUGGGGAUGUAAAUAAAUGAACAGCAGUUGUGAAGCAGUGAUGAGGGUGAAACACAUACACUUAAAUAUAUACAUACAUAUAUAUACGAUUGAUUUCUUUAAGUUUCUGUCUACGAAAUCCAUAUAUAUAUAUAUGUAUAUACACACACACACACAAAGAUAAAUUGUGUGGGCAAACAAAAAUAUGAGAUACUGCCUAGUGGUUUUUUUUUUUUAUUUUGAUAAGCCUGGUACUUAUUUUAUCAGUUUCUUCUUGUGAAACCAGUAAGUUAUGGGGAUGUAAAUAAACAAACACCAGUUGUGAGGCAGUGAUGAGGGAGAAACACAAAGACACACACACAGACUUACAUAUAUACAUACAUAUAUAUACGAUUGAUUUCUUUCAGUUUCUGUCUACAAAAUCCACUGACAAGGCUUUGGUUGGUCUGAGGCUAUAGCAGAAGACACAUGCCAAGUCACCACACAGUGGGACUGAACCCAGGACCAUAUGUUUUGGAAUGAAGUUUGUUACCACACAGCCACACCUGCACCUAUAUAUGUGCGUGUGUAUGGGUGUAUAUAUAUGUAUGCAUGUAUAUAUGUGAAUAUUACAUGUACAUCUAUAUAUAUAUAUACAUCUACACAUAUACAUGUAUACAUAUACAUCUAUAUGUAUAGAAAUAAAUGUAUACAUAUACAGCUAUACACACACACACACACAUACAUAAGUGCAGGUGUGGCUGUGUUGUAACAAAUUUCAUUCCAAAACACAUGGUCCUGGGUUUAAAUUUAAAUUUAAAAUAAUAAGGGUGAGAAAUUGAAUAUUAAUUUGAUUAAUAUGAAUUGAAAACCAGUGGUGUAGCAUAUAAGACCAUAGCAGAUCUUCUUCUAGCAAAAUGGAUGUCCACUGUUAAUGGUUCAUCCCUCUUAUAUAAUAGUUUGACUUUAAUAGUUUCAGUAGUAAAGUGAAAGUAUCUGACAUUACAAUAGAGAGAUGUUUUUGUUUCACUUUUAACACGUAAACUGAAAUAGUAGAGAAGAUAUGAUAUUGCUGUGGCCCGCUCUAGGCAAGAAGUUAGAAAUCUUUUUGCCCAUGACAUUCCGUGGACUCUAAGUAAGGUAUGUGUAAAAUUUGAAUGAAAUUGGUUGUGUAGUUCUCAAGUUUUAGGGAUUCACACAGACAGACACACACACAUUCUCAGUUUUAUAUAUAUAGAUUAUUUGAUUUUAAUUUACAAAGUAACAUUAUAACUAAAAAUGGUAGCAUCAUUUUGUUAAAAUAUUCACACAUACUAGAAUACUUUAAAAAUGAGAGCCAGAAGUACCAAUAUAGCUAAAGUUUUAUGCAAAGUAGAAUAGUAUAUAUGGUAGGCAAAUUCAUUUUGUAAAAAAUCGGCAUUGGGUCAAGACUGAAAAUGUGAAGAUUUGGCAAUAACCUAGGCAAUAACUCAAGCAAAUUUUACUGUGAAUUUGUUGGUAUGGGUAGAUUUUACUGUAAUAUAUAACUAAUUUUUGUAUUAUUCUAUUUAUUGUACUAACUAAUUAUGUACUACUAUUAUUUUUUAUAACCUAUUUUCAAAUUUCUAAUUAUUAGUUAAUAAUUUUAAAAAUGAAUUUUUUUUGAAGUGCAAAAAGUAUCUUGAGUUGUUUUUUAAAUUUUUAAUAGAAGUAACAAAUAAUAACAUAUAGAAGUAAUAACUUCUAUUUUUUUAUCCUUUCUUGAGUAGAAUUGUCUCUAGUGAUGAAAAGUUGGUUCUUUAUAAUUAUUUCCAGUAAAAAUGACAAUGGUUAGUGCCAAUUGAAAAAGAAAAUCCAUCCUCAAACCAAAACUACUCUCCUGACCUUGCUCCAUCUUACUAUCAACUUUUCAGAUCAUUGCAAUAUAACUUAGAUGGAAAAUAGUCUAUUAAUUGUAAAGAGGUUGAAAAUGGUAUUAUGUGUUUCUUAGCUUCAAAACCCAAAGGAUUUUUCACACCCAAGGGAUAAAUAAUUUUAUCAAUACAGGAGAUUAUGUUUUCUAUAGAUGGGUAGGUUGUUGUUGAGUCACCUAAUGUGACUCACUCAGAAGGCUAUAAUCUCGUUUGGUAGUAAAUCUGAAUGAAGAACAUAUAAACAAGGUUAUAACUUUAAAUGUGUUUAUUGUGGCCACACGUAUAUACACAACUGAAUGAUAGACGGAAUGGUUGGUGCAUAGAGGCCAUGGUCUUCUGUGCUUUGCUCCUAUCUGCAAGCUGGCAUGUGGUAUGAGAGAGAGAGCCAGUCAGGUUGCACCUUCACAGUUUGUGUCCCAGUGCCAAAAGAGGAAGAGGCUAGAGUAGAAGACACUUGUCCAAGGUGCCACACAGUAGGACUGAACAUGGAACCAUGUGGUUGAGCACCAAGCUUCUUUCCACACAACCAUGCCUACACCUAUAUGUUGUAUUCAAUUGAAGCAGUAUAUAAUGUAUAUACAUGUUGAUAGCCAAGUUACUGUGGUUUUCAUCUGAGAUAAAAAAAAAAACAACAAUAUAUUUUGAAGGGAGAUGAAAAAAAUCAUCCUGACAACAAUUACCAAGAACAUUAGAAGGCCCUACAAGGUCAAAAUGCAUCUAGCAUUUUAGCUGGUCACUGUCAGAGUAUAUACUAUGUUUUUAAAUGCAGCAUAUUCCAUAUUUCAUCUCAGACACGAACCAUGGUAACUUACUUGUCAAUGGUGUAUAUACAAAGUAUGAUACAUAGGUGACUGGUUGAUUGAAUGCAGCUUCAAUUGUGAACACAGGAAAAUUAAUUGUUUUGACAAAUAUUUUCAAUUUCUUUAAUAUUUUCAAAAAUUAUCAUAACAGCACUGGAAAUGUAUUUUGUUAGAAAUCCUUGUUGUUGUGUAAAGUCUAAACCUUAUAAUAAGAGUAAAUGACUAUAGUAAUUGAACUUGCAUAAUGAUAAAGUAUUGGAUUGGCAACUAAGUUCCCGCUGUUUUAAUUUUGUAAUUUAUUGCAUUUUUAAAUUUUGGAAUCUAUAUUUUUCGAGAAUUCUAUUUUUGAAUUAUUUUGGAAUCUAUUUUGUUUUUUUUCUAGUUAAUUUUAGUUAAUUUUUGUUUAUUUUCAGAUCAUUAAAAUGGCAUGUCAAGUUAAGAAAAACGAGCAUUUUUGACACCUCCUUCUUUUUGCUUUUAACCAAGUUUCUAAGGCUGCAAAAGCUGCUCGCGACAUUUGUGCUGUGUAUGGAGAGGAUGCCAUAGCUGAAAGAACCACUCGUGAUUGGUAUGCCAAGUUCAAAAAUGGAAAUUUU
rnacentral:lncRNA from 1 species